GGGCGCAAGCCUGAUCCAGCCAUGCCGCGUGCAGGAAGAAGCAUCUAUGGUGUGUAAACUGCUUUUGUACAGGAAGAAACACUCCCUCGUGAGGGAGCUUGACGGUACUGUAAGAAUAAGGAUCGGCUAACUCCGUGCCAGCAGCCGCGGUAAUACGGAGGAUCCAAGCGUUAUCCGGAAUCAUUGGGUUUAAAGGGUCCGUAGGCGGUUUAAUAAGUCAGUGGUGAAAUCUGGUCGCUCAACGAUCAAACGGCCAUUGAUACUGUUAGACUUGAAUUACUAGGAAGUAACUAGAAUAUGUAGUGUAGCGGUGAAAUGCUUAGAUAUUACAUGGAAUACCAAUUGCGAAGGCAGGUUACUACUAGUGGAUUGACGCUGAUGGACGAAAGCGUGGGGAGCGAACAGGAUUAGAUACCCUGGUAGUCCACGCCGUAAACGAUGGAUACUAGCUGUUGGGCGCAAGUUCAGUGGCUAAGCGAAAGUGAUAAGUAUCCCACCUGGGGAGUACGUUCCAAGAAUGAAACUCAAAG
rnacentral:rRNA from 1 species